UCAUUUUUAUUGACUCUGACUGGGGCGCCUGGGUGGCUCAGUCGGUUCAGCGUCCGACUUCGGCUCAGGUCAUGAUCUCGCGGUCUGUGAGUUUGAGCCCCGUGUCGGGCUCUGUGCUGACAGCUCGGAGCCUGGAGCCUGCUUCGGAUUCUGUGUCUCCCUCUCUCUCUGACACUCCUCCACUCACACCCUGUCUCUCUCUCCUUCAAAAAUAAAUAAACAUUAAAAAAAAAUUUAUUGACUCUGACUAAGUAGGCAAUGCACCUUUGGUAAAGGGAAUUGAGUAAGAUACCCAACGUUUCUUUAAUGAUUGGAGGUCCAGAUUAACUGUUGCCGUUAAGCAAACAGCAAACAAAAAAUUGUCUGUACGUGCCUUCUUUUCUUUCAGAGAAAGAAUCUCAAUUAUCUGGGCUACUCUGAGCUACGUGAACAUUGCUGAGAACAGUCAAGAGCCCCAAGAAACAGUUUGCCCCCCUGCUCCAGCCCACAGUCAGGGGUGAAGAGGAAUUACAGAAACAUUAUUAAUUCAUCCAGUGUGACGUUAAAGGACAUGGAGGGCUCUAAACGGCCUUAAGAACACGCAGUGCUGGGGCGCCUGGGUGGCUCAGUAGAUUAGGCGUCUGACUUCGGCUCAGGUCAGGAUCUUACAGUUGGUGGGUCUGAGCCCCGCAUCAGGCUCUGUGCUGACAGCUCAGAGCCUGGAGCCUGCUUCGGAUUCUGUGUCUCCCUCACUCUGCCCCUCCCCCUCUCAUGCUCUGUUUCUGUUUUUGUCUCUGCCUCUCUCUCUCUCUCUCUCUCAAAGGAAAAAGGAAAAGAAUAUGUAGUGCUAUGUGGAUGUUUUACCAAAACCUUCUCUGGGUUUUUGGAAUUCUCUUUGGAAUUAGUCCUGUGGGAAUAUGCCUCUGUGGAUCUCUUCUCGCCUCUAAUUCAGUCCCCUUUUCUUCAAGCUGUUACAGUCUACAAUCUGAAGUUCUGCCAUUUUAAAAAAUCACACAGCAGCCACCUCAUCAUCACCAGACUUUCCUCUCCAGGCCAUUUUCUGGAGAAUGUGGCUCAUAUUCCCUGUUUCUCUUUCUUGUUUUCACUCUGGUGGUCAUGUUUACCUGGCGUCUGUGUAUCACCUCAACGCCAGGACCACAGAUCUCCCCCGGGAUGCAUUCUUCAAAGGUGAGAGGUCAAUGAGGAUGUGUCAGCUAGUCAAGAUUGGGGAACCGGAGGGUUGCUCAGUGGAAACAACUUUAGAAUCUUCCAGAUGGAGGGCAUGGGGGAGCCUACAGCUCUGGUUUGCUCGCUGAAUCUGGACUCAGGGGAUCCUUGCUGAAGUUUGGCAUUCAGGACUAAAGAGAUUUACCUGGAAUCUGCAUCCUGUUGGCCAGAAUUAUUGCUCCUUUCAUUCCUCAUUUGUAUGACUUUUUCACUUGGCAAAUUCAAAACGUAUAAAGCAGUGAAUCUGUCCGUAUUCUUCUUUCAGAUGACUGAUCCUGAAGGCUUAGGGUCCUGCACAGCUUCUGUUCUGUCCUAGACUGUGACUGUCUCACUCAAGGUCUCCUUUCUUCAGCUCACUACACUUGGGCAGAGCCCUGUGAUGCUUGGCCAGAUAAAUAAGAUCUGUAGGUAGAAGGGCUUUGGUCCCUAAAGCCCUCUGCUCCAGUUACCAUAGAAACAAGCCAAGGGUGAUACCCACCACAAGGGCUCUUAAAGCCACACAUACUUUAUUCUGAGAAUCCCAUCGCAUUACAAAUACCACUCAGCAGUAGUUUUUAUUUUUUAUUAUUUUUUUUUUCAGCAAUAGUUUUUAAAGGCAUGAUCUACUUCAUUGCUCUGGAUGGCUUUGACUAAGGCUUUCAAUUCCCUGUUGCAACCCUCCCUCCUUUAAAAUAAUUAUUUUUUGUUGUUGCUUUUAAACUUGAUGGAAAAAAAAUGACCAAUUCAUGCCAGUUGAGUUAUAGAUCCUGAACAGAUGGUUUAAGAUAAUUUAUUACAUGUUACAUAUUUACAUUUAAUUUAUUAGAUUUAUUCCUAAAGUUUGGGGAGAAAAUUUAGUACCAACUAAAGAGUUAUAAUUAAAAGAGCACAGAGACAGGGUGCCUGGGUGGCUCGGUUGGUUAAGCAUCCGACUCUUGAUCUCAGUUCAGAUCUUGAUCUUAGGGUCUUGAUCUCAGGGUCGUGAGUUCAAGCCCUAUGUUAAAAGAGCACAGAGACAGCAGUCAGAGACCCCAAGCACUGAUGGAAACUUUAGCUCUCUCAGAGAUAACACUUUACUUUGUGACUUUGGGUGAUACCACAAACCUCUCUGGCCACGAUUUCCAGUUGGUAAAAUCAAAGGACUGGAUCAGCUGAUCUCUAACUUUUUCUGGGUUCAAGAAUUCUUUGAAUUUGUGGUGUUGUAUAGUAGCAGAAGAGAUUCCAUGAAAAAAAUAGAAUGUUGCUCUGUCGACAAUUAUGUCAGAGAGUAAUAAGCACUUUGUAGGAAGGUUGCUACUAACAUCAUAAAGGAAGGAAAAGGGAAGGAGGGAAAAGAAAAAAAUACCACUUAACCAAACUUCUGCUGUGUGCUAAGAAAUUCAGAGACAUUAUCUCAUGUGAAAACACAUCAUUUCAGAGAUUUCCUCCUUAAGGGACAGAGAUGCCAUUUCUGCUUCUGGCCCCAAAUGUGCAGGAUAGGAUAGCUAACACUGAGUGAAUGCUUUCCGUGUGCCAGGCACUUUUCCAGGCACUUCGUGCAUACUUACACAAUUUAUUAUUCCCAUUCACAGAUGAGGAAAUCGAGGCACAGAGAGGUUAGGUAACUUGCCCAAGGUCAUGGUUGGUAAAUGGCAGAGCCAAGCUCCAAAGUCAGAGAGUUGGGCUCUAAAUCUGUGCUCGUAACCAUAUCCCCAUAUUGUCUCUUUUCAUUCAUUCAUUGAAGAAAUAUUUGAUGAACACUGACUAUUGGAAGGUAAUGCCCUAGACUUCGUCUUAUCUACUGGAUGCUACAUAUUAUAGACAAUGGAGUCUACAUUCUAUACGUUAUGUAGGAUAUGAUGAAUAACAUGCCUAUAUUCUAUAUACUUUAUAAGAUGCAUUAAGCUGUAUACACUACUGUCUAUAUACAAUGGGUAAUAGACAUGAUUUAUUAUAUGUACCAGCAGUGUUUUGCCAUAAUAGGUAUUUAAUAAAUAUAUGUUGAAUUAAUGAAUACAAUACUCAUUCAACAUCAUGUUCUAUUCUGGCAGAGCUGGGUCACUGAGGGUUUAUUCUUCCAGUUCUUCCC